AUGAACGCUGGCGGCGUGCCUAAUACAUGCAAGUCGAGCGAACAGACGAGGAGCUUGCUCCUCUGACGUUAGCGGCGGACGGGUGAGUAACACGUGGAUAACCUACCUAUAAGACUGGGAUAACUUCGGGAAACCGGAGCUAAUACCGGAUAAUAUAUUGAACCGCAUGGUUCAAUAGUGAAAGACGGUUUUGCUGUCACUUAUAGAUGGAUCCGCGCCGCAUUAGCUAGUUGGUAAGGUAACGGCUUACCAAGGCAACGAUGCGUAGCCGACCUGAGAGGGUGGUCGGCCACACUGGAACUGAGACACGGUCCAGACUCCUACGGGAGGCAGCAGUAGGGAAUCUUCCGCAAAGGGCGAAAGCCUGACGGAGCAACGCCGCGUGAGUGAUGAAGGUCUUCGGAUCGUAAAACUCUGUUAUUAGGGAAGAACAAAUGUGUAAGUAACUAUGCACGUCUUGACGGUACCUAAUCAGAAAGCCACGGCUAACUACGUG
rnacentral:rRNA from 1 species